GCGAGCCAGGCGGCAGCUCUCAGGCUUCCUAACCUGUGUGAGUUCCUGCCUUCACUUCCCUCGGUGAUAGACGGGCGCUAAGCCUUUCUUCCAAGUUGUUUGUUUGUUUUGGUUGUGGUGUCUUAUCAAGACAGAAAUCGACCUGGAAAGAACGGGACCCUGAGGUUGAGCCAGCAUCAUGGGCAUGCUUAGCAAGCGCCGUGUCGCCCAGUGACAUCAGCAACCUCAGAACCCCGAAGCUUGAGGUUGAGACAUCUCGAAGGGUUAAAGUUCAAGUGAGUCGCUGGGGUAGGGGGGACAACUGCCUGCCGUUGUAGGCCAGAUGUGGAAAUAGGGCGUCCACUUGCGAGGUGGACCCCAGGGAGCCCCUCGAUGGCCGAUGGCUUGCCCUUUGGGGUCAGGAUAACCGUUCUCUUCUGCACAAAAACUUAACAGAAUAAACUGGGUACGGUGUGAUUCCUCCAUUAGGGACACAGCAGGAGAAGCGGAGCUUGGGGUCAUUUUCAGAGUUUGAGACCAGCCUGUACUACAGAGACUUCGUCUCCCAAAGCAAACAAAACCACCUGAGGCUGGUACCUCGACGGGCACUUGCCUCCAGACCCACGACAACAGCGCGUUUCCCACUAGAUCUUAGAGUGUGGCAGGAGUGGCUGAAGGCAAUUGCCGAGGGGCCAGGAGAAUCCGAACUGUGCUAAGAGAUACCAGUCGCAACCCCGGGCGUGACGUGGCUUCUGAAUUCUGUGUGAGCCUUCUCUUUCUGUAGCAAAAGCUGAGACAAUCGGCGUAGAAGCAGGACAGCUGAGGAUGCCCUCAGGGCUCAGAACCUAUUCCAGUCUACCGACUCUCCGCGCUCAGCUCCUAACCCAGCGGCCAGGGUUAAAGACCUGCUCCUCAGAACGGUGCCAUGAACUCACCGCUUGCCACUUGGGAGGACCUGGGAACACAGGCCAGGGCUGUGGUCUUCUUCCUUCGUGCUCAGCACUCUGCACGGUGACAUGGACCUGGAAAUGGAUGACACAUCAUCAAAGUUUCAGAUGUCAGGAAACUGGGACAGUCAAAGUGCUGGACGACAGAAUCACAACCCCAAAAUAACUUAGGAGCCUGGGAUGGGGGGAGCGAAGACAAAGAAUAAUGGGGAGCUUUGCUGGCCCCUCUGCUUGACUCCGCCUCCGUGUUCAGGCGAGUGGUGUGUGCUUGAACAGCCUCAGUGCAUGGGAGGAGAUGGCACGGGUUUGCCUCUCUUUCUUGCUGUUUAGAUGGUCUGAUUUGAUUUUUUUUUUUCCAUGAGUGUUUUGCCUGGGCAUCUGUAUUUGUAACGUGUGUGCCAAAUGCCCUUGGCGGUCAGAAGAGGCCGUGGGAUCCCUGGAACUGGAAGGAAUUACAGAUGGUUGUGAGCCGCCCUGUGCAUGCUGUGAGCCGAACUGGACUCCUCCGAAAGAAGCGGGGAGCAUUCCUCACCACUGAGCCAUCUCUCCAGACCCAUAGCUCAUGGAUUCAUUUAGAUGAAGCUGUGUGAUAGGCUGUAGACCAGCUCUUCGCAAGGCGGAAGCCUCCUCUCCGCUUCCGUUUCUGACUUUGACUGUGGGUUGGAUCUCUGCUCGUCAUUCACGGGGCAACUGAGUCACACAGGAAAGUGUUUUAGAGUCAGCUCUCACAGCACCCUGUUCUGCACCCAGGGGUCUGCAAGGUCACCCUGUGAUGAGAUCAUCCUCCAACUGGGUGGAAACCGAGGCUGCCCCUCUCCUUCGUGGACGUCUUCUCAGAGAAGUUCCUCUUUGGAGUCACCUUGUUGGAGACACAGGAUUUCUUCCCCUGCCUGGGUCUCCCUCUGUUAGAGUCUGAGGUCCCAGACCCAGAAAAUGGGCUGUUCGAUCUUCCUCUUCCUAAACUGGCCACUUUGAUUAAAGCAAUGUCCUGUCCUUCA